rnacentral:rRNA from 1 species
GGGAUAGCAGCUGGAAACGGCUGGUAAUACCGCAUAAGCGCACAGUACCACAUGGUACAGUGUGAAAAACUCCGGUGGUAUGAGAUGGACCCGCGUCUGAUUAGCUUGUUGGCGGGGUAACGGCCCACCAAGGCGACGAUCAGUAGCCGACCUGAGAGGGUGACCGGCCACAUUGGGACUGAGACACGGCCCAGACUCCUACGGGAGGCAGCAGUGGGGAAUAUUGCACAAUGGAGGAAACUCUGAUGCAGCGACGCCGCGUGAGUGAAGAAGUAGUUCGCUAUGUAAAGCUCUAUCAGCAGGGAAGAUAGUGACGGUACCUGACUAAGAAGCUCCGGCUAAAUACGUGCCAGCAGCCGCGGUAAUACGUAUGGAGCAAGCGUUAUCCGGAUUUACUGGGUGUAAAGGGAGUGUAGGUGGCCAGGCAAGUCAGAAGUGAAAGCCCGGGGCUCAACCCCGGGACUGCUUUUGAAACUGCAGGGCUAGAGUGCAGGAGGGGCAAGUGGAAUUCCUAGUGUAGCGGUGAAAUGCGUAGAUAUUAGGAGGAACACCAGUGGCGAAGGCGGCUUGCUGGACUGUAACUGACACUGAGGCUCGAAAGCGUGGGGAGCAAACAGGAUUACAUACCCUGGUAGUCCACGCCGUAAACGAUGAAUAAAAGGUGUCGGGGCGCAUAAGUGCUCCGGUGCCGCAG